UACAGAGGUCCCAAGCGUUGUCCGGAUUUACUGGGCGUAAAGAGCGCGCAGGCGGUCGUUCAAGUCGCGUGUGAAAGCCCCCGGCUCAACUGGGGAGGGUCACGCGAUACUGAUCGACUCGAAGGCAGGAGAGGGAAGUGGAAUUCCUGGUGUAGCGGUGAAAUGCGCAGAUAUCAGGAGGAACACCGGUGGCGAAGGCGGUUCUCUGGGCAUGAUCUGACGCUGAGGAGCGAAAGUGUGGGGAGCGAACAGG
rnacentral:rRNA from 1 species